rnacentral:sRNA from 1 species
CUCUCUUUACUGACCACCAGUGGGUGGCCCCCGCCGUGGCCACUGCCGACCUGCACGCGCAGUACGGCUCCCCCACCUACUUCUAUGCCUUCUAUCAUCACUGCCAAAGCGAAAUGAAGCCCAGCUGGGCAGAUUCGGCCCAUGGUGAUGAGGUCCCCUAUGUCUUCGGCAUCCCCAUGAUCGGUCCCACCGAGCUCUUCAGUUGUAACUUUUCCAAGAACGACGUCAUGCUCAGCGCCGUGGUCAUGACCUACUGGACGAACUUCGCCAAAACUGGGUCAAUAACGACUGGAGUGUGAUGGAGAGGAAGAGACAGUACACGGUUGAAAUUUUUCCUGAUGAAAGCUGUGUGGUUCCUAAGAAUUCAAGAUUAUCCAGAACUAUAGGAUGGUGUUUAUAGGACACAACAGCUGACUUGAAUGGACUCCCACUGGCUAAAGAUGACACACUUUGACCAUCAGUAAGAAUGAUAAUUUAAAUGCAUUUCAAUACAUCAAGUUUGAUAAAAGACACGAGUUCCCAAUGACGUUAAAGAUAUGCACAUUGAUUGUCUUUAGAAAAUAGUUGGGAAUCAUUUCAUUACUUUGUGAACUGAAAAA